GCAAGGAUGAUUCCUUGACAUUGACAAUGAGAUGAAAAAGCAAUUUGACCUCUAAGAAGUACUGAGCAG